GACGAACGCUGGCGGCGUGCUUAACACAUGCAAGUCGAGCGGUAAGGCCCUUUCGGGGGUACACGAGCGGCGAACGGGUGAGUAACACGUGGGUGACCUGCCCUCAGCUCUGGGAUAAGCCUGGGAAACUGGGUCUAAUACUGGAUAUGACUCCACGGUGCAUGUCGUGGGGUGGAAAGCCUUGUGCGGCUGAGGAUGGGCCCGCGGCCUAUCAGCUUGUUGGUGGGGUGANGGCCUACCAAGGCGACGACGGGUAGCCGGCCUGAGAGGGCGACCGGCCACACUGGGACUGAGACACGG
rnacentral:rRNA from 1 species